UAACACGUAGGAGGCAAACGUUAUCCGGAUUUACUGGGCGUAAAGCGCGUGUAGGUGGUUUGGUAAGUAGGGCGUGAAAGCUCCUGGCUCAACUGGGAGAGGACGUUCUAAACUGCCAAGCUUGAGGAUGGUAGAGGGAGGUGGAAUUCCGGGUGUAGCGGUGGAAUGCGCAGAUAUCCGGAGGAACACCAGUGGCGAAGGCGGCCUCCUGGACCACUCCUGACACUCAGACGCGAAAGCUAGGGUAGCAAACGGG
rnacentral:rRNA from 1 species